AGACCCGAAACCCGGUGAUCUAGCCAUGGGCAGGUUGAAGGUUGGGUAACACUAACUGGAGGACCGAACCGACUAAUGUUGAAAAAUUAGCGGAUGACCUGUGGCUGGGGGUGAAAGGCCAAUCAAACCGGGAGAUAGCUGGUUCUCCCCGAAAGCUAUUUAGGUAGCGCCUCGUGAAUUCAUCUCCGGGGGUAGAGCACUGUUUCGGCUAGGGGGCCAUCCCGGCUUACCAACCCGAUGCAAACUGCGAAUACCGGAGAAUGUUAUCACGGGAGACACACGGCGGGUGCUAACGUCCGUCGUGAAGAGGGAAACAACCCAGACCGCCAGCUAAGGUCCCAAAGUCAUGGUUAAGUGGGAAACGAUGUGGGAAGGCCCAGACAGCCAGGAUGUUGGCUUAGAAGCAGCCAUCAUUUAAAGAAAGCGUAAUAGCUCACUGGUCGAGUCGGCCUGCGCGGAAGAUGUAACGGGGCUAAACCAUGCACCGAAGCUGCGGCAGCGACGCUGAUGCGUUGUUGGGUAGGGGAGCGUUCUGUAAGCCUGCGAAGGUGGCCUGUGAGGGUUGCUGGAGGUAUCAGAAGUGCGAAUGCUGACAUAAGUAACGAUAAAGCGGGUGAAAAGCCCGCUCGCCGGAAGACCAAGGGUUCCUGUCCAACGUUAAUCGGGGCAGGGUGAGUCGACCCCUAAGGCGAGGCCGAAAGGCGUAGUCGAUGGGAAACGGGUUAAUAUUCCCGUACUUGGUGUUACUGCGAAGGGGGGACGGAGAAGGCUAUGUUGGCCGGGCGACGGUUGUCCCGGUUUAAGCGUGUAGGUGUGUGUUCCAGGUAAAUCCGGUUCACUUUAACACUGAGGCGUGAUGACG
rnacentral:rRNA from 1 species